rnacentral:lncRNA from 1 species
CGGGUCCCUGCGCGGAGGACGCUGAUUCGUGUCGUUAAGCGGGUGAAGCGGGUGUAGACAGAGGGGAGCUCCAGGAGGGCAGGGAUUUUGUCCGUUUCUUUCACUUUUGGAUCUGCAGAGCCCAGGACAGCACCUGGCCCGUAGUAGGUGCCGCAAGAAACGCUUCUUGAAGGAAGGAAGGAACGAACCCACGAGUAUUGCAGGAGGAUUAAAUGAAAGAUCAAUUCAUCCCACCUCACGGUAAUAGGCACCCUGUUUCCUCCCAGCCCCGAGAUUGGAGAGUUUGUUUUCAUCCUCCUGUUGUCUGAACACAGCACAGAGCAAUCCUGAGACACAAAGCAACGUGCCUUUCAAAAUUUUUAAUAAACAUGGAAUCUUGCUAUGCUGGCCAGGCUGGUCUUGAACUGCUAGCCUCAAGCGAUCCUCCCUCCUUGGCCUCUCAAAAUGUUGGGAUUAUAGGCGUGAACCACUGUAACCAGCCUCAAGACAGGCUUUCUAAGACACAAGAUUCCGCGUGUCAACUGUAUCCACGGAAACCAUUCCUUAGUUUAUUGUCACCGCCAUUCCUAACUCUGAUGUGAAAAUCCCUGCGUUCAUCAACAUAACCCAGUUAGGGUCGCACUCAUCACGGGGCCCCCAUUGCCUCUGGCGCACCCCACGACUGACAUCUGCGGGGCCUUCGCGCUAGGCUUCGAGUUUCAGCUUCCGCACCAGGCCUGCCUUUCUGCAGGGGCCAGGGUGGGGGUCGUGUGCUGAUUGGGCCCUCUGAACCGCCACCGCUGCAGAGGGGCUGUUCCUUCCGUCACAUCCCUUGUGCCCGAAUCCACCCUGUGUCUUCUCUUUUCUCAGCAGGACAUUUUAAAAGCCCAGACCCCCUCCUUACAGAGCAAAUGUCCAGGCUUCGGAGGUCACUGUCACAUCCCAAGAACCCCCUUCACCAGGUGCCACUCUUGAGACUGGACUGAAGCCCCCUGGAGAGUUCCACUUGCCUUUGUCCUGCUGCCUGAGAUGAGGGCAUGGACAGCCGGGUACAAGACGGGACAGGCAACCUCGCAGUGGUGGUAACCCUGUGCAUGAACCCUGGGCCUGGCACGUGGACCUCCUGUGACCGUCCCCACAGGCCCGUGAGGCUGAGCUUGGCACUGCCCAAGACCACACAGUCCAUGCGCAGUGGAGCUGGGGUCCAGGCUGCCCACCAGGGCAGUGACUGCAAUGGUGGCAGCAGGGGACAGUCACCAUGGACCCCUCCCCUCCCAUGGCUUUGAGCCCAUGAGAUGGCCUUGGACAAAGCGGCAAUGGGCCCUUCCUGAGACACAGUGCGGCCAUCUACUGGGAAACUGCCCAGUGUGACUCUGAUGACUGUGAUGUGAAUCCCACAGCAAAGUUGAGCAGUGCGCAACCUGGGCUACUGCACCUGGCAGCCCUGGCUCCUCCUCCUCUGCCUCUUCCUGCUCCUUCAUUCUCCCCCAGAGCUCUAAUUGUCACUGAGAUUUUAUGUUUCGUUUAACAAAUGACUGUCUCCCCGCUUGAACAGAACCUCCAUGGGGGGAGGGAAGAGUGUCUGUUGUAUAAAUAGUUGUAUUUCAGUGCAUAAAACAGUGCCUGCCUCAAAGGGAGGACUCAGUCAA